CAUUGUUAACUUAUCAUUACGGGAGCUUUUAACUUUUCCAAGGCAGCGAGUCUUUUCCUCUUCCGAGCAACGAGUCCUCUCUUCCGAAGACAUCGAUUCUCCCAAUCUCAGUCCUCGGCUCUCGCUAGACAGCUCUUUGAAAAUUCUAGAAAUCUCCGUAUCUCCUUCUCGUCAUCCUUACAGUGUAAAAAAAUGAAACUUCGGAGGUCAUCGCUUUGUUUUCUCCUAGGGUUUCUGUUCGGCUUCAGAGAAGAACAGCUUGACGAUGACGUCGCCGGAGAAGAUUAAAGGCACACAAGAUAGCGCAAUUGAAAACUUUGGAAUCCCUCAAUAUGGGGGCAGCAUGGCUGGGAAUAUCGUGUGCCUGAAAGAGAACCAUAAAGGGUGUACAAAGUUAGGGGAUUCCUUCAAAACAAAACCUGGAGCUCUUCCGACCAUUCUUUUACUCGAUCGUGGAAUUAUUGGGUAUUCUUGAGAGCCCUUCUUGAAGAAACAAGAUUGUUUCCAGUAGUACUUGAUCUCAAGGGUUCUGGAAUUGAUAUCACAUAUAUUAACAAGAUUACUACAUUGGCAGAGUAUUCAAAACCUCUGGCUGAUUAUCUUGAAAACCUUCCUGAGGAUGAAAAGGUUAGAAACUUCACACGACAUUCUAAAAUUCAUGCAACUUGAAGCACUGUCACCUUUUGGUCUCCUGCAGUCUGUUAUAUUGAAGAAAAUGGCACCGAGGUCUGGGAGAGGGAAAUUGAAUAAAGCCAAUGCAGAGAAUAAGAAGGAGGAAGAGAAAGAUGAGGAAGUGCGGAAAGUGAAUCUAGGGAAAAACUGGAGGGAUCAACACAACCUACUGUGUCUAACAGUUCAAUAUUGAUGGAGAUGGCAAGCUGAAGAAGAAGAUGAUGAUGACACUACCUAUUCCACAUAUUCUACUGACAUCGCUCUCUACGUCUCCAACUGAACGAGCCUUCUCCGAUCGGGCCCAAGAUCGGUUUCCAUGGCUACACUUCAUGACCGUAAGGGCUUCUUCUCCCUCCUCUUCCUUUUCAGUUCUUCCAGAAGCCGACAAGGAGCAUCAUGCGAUGCAGAUAUCUGAACGAAAGGUUUGAGGUUUUCUCUAUAUCAGGAAAGAAGUGCCCUUCGCUUUCAACGAUGUUCAUGCGAAUAUAUGAAAUAACAAACCAGGAGCUAGUAAGAACUUUGCAGUAAAAACCCACUGAAAGAACAGCACAAGCAUCUUCAAGGCAAUCUUUAUGAUCGAGUCUCAGAAGCACUACUACACAGACACAUUUUGCUAGCGGCGGAGAACCAUGGAUGAAGAAGGGUGUUGGCGGCUGGCUGAAGAAGGGUUCUUACAGAGAAGAAAGCCGAUGAAAAAAAAAAAGGGAUUAAAAUAAUUUAAACAGUAUAUAUCACGUAAGAAAAAUAUAAAUGUUAAUAAGUGCCAACUCAAAUUAAAAUUUCAUAAGGUAUCAUAUUUUAGUUGGUCAUUCUGGCCUAUAUAUA